GAAAAAGCAAGCGAGCUGCAGGAGGAGGAGAAGGACGAGGAGAGGGCAAACUGUCUCUGCAGUAUUUGCACUAAAACCUGCUGAAGGGAAGACUCCAGAGUGCUGGGAGCCGCAGACUCUCCUGCUUGUCUUCCAAGAGUGACGAACAUGAAUCAGUUGUUUUGACCACAGCACUGCUCAAUCACGACUUUAAAGGCAGGAAAUGAACACAGAAGGUUUUGUGCUUCACUGUGGCGGGGGUCGGGACCCCCCACCCUUCCCAACGACUCAACUUGAUGUUGGGAGAUGAGACGGGAAACAGGUGUCACCCAUGACCUUCACUGUUCAAACACUGCAGGCCCCACAGUGAGGUGUUCUCUGUGGGGGGGGGGGGGGUGACAGGAAGGGGUGUAGCUGCCUUUUUAGCAUUUCAUUUUACACCCCCUCCUCUCCUCAUCAUCAACAUUUGCCUUCUCCCUACCAAAUGUGAAGUGACUCACACACUCCAGUGUUCGUCAGCAAAGAUUGUUUUCAUCAGGACCAAUGAAGGGUGUGUGUAAAACACGGCGUUCCUCGCCACGCUCACCCCUGCCUCACCUCGGCUCGGAAAGACGAACCCCUAGUCAAAGAAGCAGAGAACACAAAGUAAUAACCUCCAAAUCCCUGCGGAUGGCUUAUGUGAAGUCCGAGACGAUUGGGAAGUCGGGAGCCGGCGGUGACUCUGUCCUCAGUGUGUCUGUCAGCGCCCCUACUAUCGCCCGCUCUGUUUUCCUCAUAAGAAAAAGAUUAAUUCUGCAGAUUAUCGGGCUUCAAUAAAGUACUUACUGUUAACUAGCAACUGGGAUAAGUUGAUGCCUUGUCCAGAAGUGAUUAAUGGGCGGUCAAAGGUAAAGGACGCACCAGAAUGCACCGUGUGCGGGGGGAUAAAUCGGAAGAUUGUAAACACAGAGGCAGGUCUGAAGAAAGAAAGUCACAGGAUGAUGGAAAAGGGAUUCAAAAAGGA